rnacentral:rRNA from 1 species
AUUGAACGCUGGCGGCAGGCCUAACACAUGCAAGUCGAGCGGUAACACAGGGAGCUUGCUCCUGGGUGACGAGCGGCGGACGGGUGAGUAAUGUCUGGGAAACUGCCCGAUGGAGGGGAUAACUACUGGAAACGGUAGCUAAUACCGCAUAAUGUCGCAAGACCAAAGAGGGGGACCGUUCGGGCCUCUUGCCAUCGGAUGUGCCCAGAUGGGAUUAGCUAGUAGGUGGGGUAACGGCUCACCUAGGCGACGAUCCCUAGCUGGUCUGAGAGGAUGACCAGCCACACUGGAACUGAGACACGGUCCAGACUCCUACGGGAGGCAGCAGUGGGGGAAUAUUGCACAAUGGGCGCAAGCCUGAUGCAGCCAUGCCGCGUGUAUGAAGAA